UUUUUGGAGUGUAUGAUUUGUAAUAUAAGUUCACGGUGUGGUGUGUAUAUGAAGUGUGCUCUUUGACAACGUGCGCCGGUGAUCACUCCUGUGGGUAACCUCAGCCCUGUUUGUUAUAUUUGUUUUGAUUUAUUCUGUAUCCAGCUGCCACUUACCGCAUCAUUUGCAGUAAGAAUAUUGUUGAGAUCUGAAGUGAUGCGAUCCAUCUUGUCUCGACAUUGAACUGAUUGGAGGUGUAACAUACUCCUUUUAAAGAAAAAUUAACUGUUCUAUUUUUUAUUACUGAUUAAUAAAUUUUGUAUUUUUGAUACUCAUGUUCUCUGCCUGCCUUUAAUUAUAUAUGAGAAGUGAACCUGUGUGACCUAGGGGUCAUUUUUGUUUCCUGGGUAGUUCCCAGGUGGCGUAGUCAAAUUCCCCUGCAAGUAGGUGAACUUGCAUUGAUAGCAGUAGAGCGACCUCGCCACAUUUGGCGUAGUCUCGGCAGGGUCUCUAUUGUGUAGUGCAGAGACGUGAGUAUCAUUUUGUGGUUAGUAUUGGUAUUUUGUGUGUCUGUCUUUUUUUUUCUCUUUCUUUUUUUGCAGAAACCAGGCAGCAGUAUUCUAUUUUGUGAGUUAAUGUGAGGAGCAUCCCCACUGGGUCUUGUCUUUUCAUCGUUAGUGGAGCUGAGGUCCCCACGGGUGAAGGAUCUGGUGGUGGUGGUUGUACUAUCCCAACGUUUGCUGUGUUACACCUUUUUGGAGUGUAUGAUUUGUAAUCUAAGUUCACGGUGUGGUGUGUAUAUGAAGUGUGCUCUUUGACAACGUGCGCCGGUGAUCACUCCUGUGGGUAACCUCAGCCCUGUUUGUUAUAUUUGUUUUGAUUUAUUCUGUAUCCAGCUGCCACUUACCGCAUCAUUUGCAGUAAGAAUAUUGUUGAGAUCUGAAGUGAUGCGAUCCAUCUUGUCUCGACAUUGAACUGAUUGGAGGUGUAACAUACUCCUUUUAAAGAAAAAUUAACUGUUCUAUUUUUUAUUACUGAUUAAUAAAUUUUGUAUUUUUGAUA